UCUCCGUAGGUGAACCUGCGGAGGGAUCAUUACAGAGUUCAUGCCCUACCGGGUAGAUCUCCCACCCUAUGUUAUUAUUACUUUGUUGCUUUGGCGGGCCGUUAGGCUCCGGCCCGACUACCGGCCCCGGCUGGUAAGCGCCCGCCAGAGGACCCAAAACCCUGAAUAUUAGUGUCGUCUGAGUACUAUAUAAUAGUUAAAACUUUCAGCAACGGAUCUCUUGGUUCUGGCAUCGAUGAAGAACACAGC
rnacentral:misc_RNA from 1 species